rnacentral:misc_RNA from 1 species
GGCAUAUUGAUAUACAACUUCUUUAGCACUGCAAGGAAUUUUCCAAAUUGUUUGUCUAGUUUAUGCUUGAUGAAUCUUUGAGGUUAGGGUAGAGUAGGCUUAUAAGGCUUAGGUGGGAUGUAUGGCUUCUCUCCCUCAUCCUGCUCACUUUUGUUUUUUUCUUCUUUUUCAUUUUUUUUGCUCUCAACUGAAUUUUCUUCUUUUAUGCUCUCUUUUUCUUCUCUCUUGUUUUCACUCUCUUAACCAACUUUCUUACCACUUCUCAAGGUCACAACCUUAUAUUGUUAAUCGGGGUUCUAUGGUUGGCUAGGU